UUUUUUUUUUUUUUUUUUUUUUUUUGAGACAGAGUCUCGCUCUGUUGCCCAGGCUGGAGUGCAGUGGCACGAUCUCAGUGGCUCACUGCAAAACUCUGCCUCCCGGGUUCAUGCCAUUCUCCUGCCUCAGCCUCCCGAGUAGCUGGGACAACAGGCACAUGCCACCAUGCCCAGCUAAUUUUUUUGUAUUUUCAGUAGAGACGGGGUUUCACCGUGUUAGCCAGGAUAGUCUCAAUCUCCUGACCUCGUGAUCUGCCUGCCUCGGCCUCCCAAAGUGCAGGGAUUACAGGCGUGAGCCACUGCGCCCGGCCAGCUUUCUUAAAGUCAUGAAAAACUACUGUGAACUGCACACUAACCCCACAAGUGCGAUCCAUUCUGCAGCCUCCUACAUAUGUAUUUUUGCUUCAACCAACCGUGUGAACGCUGGAAAUCUGAAGCCAGAGGCCUUAGGCAGUCACGGCCUUUAGAACAAGAAGUUUUACAAAUCACAGAAGGGAGUGGUCCUCAAACAAGGGUGCCAACACCCCAAUCAGACCCUUUGGAAAGACUAGAUCUGAUUUAUCACAACAGGGGAACUCUAACCGUGCUGUGGGCAGGAGCCCAGGGUGCUGAACAUCCUGCAGAGUGUGUGACGUUCCUGCCCCAUUAAGAAACAGUCCCAUCCAUAAUAGCUUCUCCACAGAGAAAUCCUAAAAAUUGUCCAUAUAGUCUUUCAUGGAAGAAAUAUACAGAGACGCCGACGUUUUUUGCCUAAGGUAACACAGGAAUUCCUCAGUUAAGGAAGGUCACAUCCCUCCAGCUUAAUCUCGUUUCACCCUCUCACCACUCAGCUAUCCAACCCCUCCCAGUUCCAUAUAAAGGGUCCCUGGAUGCAGCCACUGGGAAAUGAUCACAUUUUAGUGACCUGCUGCAUUUUCUCAACUCCAAGCCUUUGUCAGUGACUCCCUUCUGCCUUCACCCCUAACCCACACUCAGACACUAUUCCAUCCUUCCAUGCCUGGAUCAAAGGCUGCCUCCUCCAGAAAGCCAGCCAGAGCUCUAUCCCAGAACCCCUCCCAGCAGUCCAUCUGUAUUUUGACUUUCAGCCUGUGUACCCAUCUGCCUUUGUACUACAGUUGUUUAUUAGCAUUACCCUUACCAUCAACAGUACUAUGCCAGCUGCUUAACUACCAUUCUGCUAUCCUAUGGUCACAGGGGGCUGGUGGGGCAAGACAUAUUAUCCUAUUUUACCAGUGAAGAAUUUGAGCUUAGGAAGGUUAGCAACUUUCUGGAGGCGGCACAGGGGGCAAAACAGGGAUUUUCUCCCACAUCUGACAACAGAGCCCACACUGUCGUGACAAGGCCACCCUACCUCCCUCCGUGGUCAUAAGCAUGUCCACCUCCUGUCCAGAUAAUGAGGUCUUUGAAGGUAGAAGCCUUGCCACUUCCAUCUACAUCCACUUUAUGGCAAACCCUCCAUAAAUCAUGUCAGAGUCCAGGCAUCCUGACUCCUGGUCCAGGACUUGCCAUCUGGUCUAGGAACUUUUCAUCCUACAAGCCACCCUUGGCCCAACAUGACCUCCCUCAAGGUACAUGGUGAGUCAGGAGUAGGGCCAAACAGUGAGAAGUUCCCUAAGGUUCCUUCCUCCCAACAACCAACAGCAGUUCACUACAGGAGCUUCAG
ensembl:lncRNA